UACAGAGGUCCCAAGCGUUGUUCGGAUUCACUGGGCGUAAAGGGUGCGUAGGUGGUUAGGUAAGUCUGAUGUGAAAUCUCUGGGCUCAACCCAGAAACUGCAUUGGAUACUAUCUAGCUAGAGGAGUGGAGGGGGGACUGGAAUACUUGGUGUAGCAGUGAAAUGCGUAGAUAUCAAGUGGAACACCAGUGGCGAAGGCGAGUCCCUGGACACUUCCUGACACUGAGGAGCGAAAGCGUGGGGAGCGAACAGG
rnacentral:rRNA from 1 species